rnacentral:rRNA from 1 species
UACGAAGGGGGCUAGCGUUGCUCGGAAUCACUGGGCGUAAAGGGUGCGUAGGCGGGUCUUUAAGUCAGGGGUGAAAUCCUGGAGCUCAACUCCAGAACUGCCUUUGAUACUGGGGAUCUCGAGUCCGGGAGAGGUGAGUGGAACUCCGAGUGUAGAGGUGAAAUUCGUAGAUAUUCGGAAGAACACCAGUGGCGAAGGCGGCUCACUGGCCCGGUACUGACGCUGAGGAGCGAAAGCGUGGGGAGCGAACAGG